UCCACCCCCUGCCCAGACAGAAUCCCUGGGGCUCUGACCUGGGGGCUGGACAAUCUUGGAAAAGAACUUCUAGAAGUCUCAGCACAUCCCCAGCUCCUGGACCUUGAGGCUCUGUUCGUUUUUUGAAGCACAGAACCAAAUGCAGAACAGUACACGGAAGCUGCAACAGCCAUUCAGAUUGCAAUCCAGUAGCUGCUGUGUCAUCUAUGACGAAGAAA